AACCAUUCCUCAAAACAGAAGCUGGCAAAAUAAAACUUUAUCAAAGAGAUGAACUGUCAACUACUCAGCUCCCUUAUGCAAAAAUAAAUCCACGUUAUAAGCAUCCAUCCAUAAUUGAUCAUCAAUAGGUUUUGUUGAAAAAAUCCUUAUUGGGGGCUGGGGGAGAUUGUCACGACUAGAUUUAGAGGGAACAUGGUUAUUAAAGCGUCGUUUAAACGACGAUUAAGCGUCGUUUAAGCGCUAAAACGUGAUUAGGAGUUAAAGCGUCCGUACGUUUUAAAAAAACUGCGUAGAACGUCCGUUUUGGACGUUUAAGCGACGUUUAAACGUCGGAACGCGCGUUCUGGACGUUUUACCCGUUCUACGGACGUUAUGUGCGUCUAUAAGUUGUUGGGCCUUAAUGGGCCUUUAACCAGCAAGCUUGCUCCAGCCGCCAAACUGCCAGACGCACAGCCGCGGAGCCGCCAGAGACAGACGCUGCCGCCGUCGGCCGUCCUCCGCCCUCCAGUAGAAUCGUCCAUCCUGCUCGCUUGUCUUUCUGAGCUGUGCAUGCACAACGAUUUGGGCUUGAGUGGUGGUGCUAAAGUCUCCAUGGGAUGAGCUUGAGGUGCACUACUGUUUAUCCGGCUUCUGAAGGGCGCCUUCGGUUUUGUGCAUAGGCUCAUUGGGUUGCUAACUGGUAGGUUUUUUUUGGUUAUAAGAUUCUUCAUAUCUUUUUUCAUUUAGAUUAAAAGUUUGUGCCGUGCCCUUGAUUGCAACCAUGAAGCUGCAGUUUCUGCUGUAGUGAUUUUGGUCUGAUGCUCAAAUAUAAUGUUGAGGUGUGUCUGCGUGCUAUUGC